UAUGCCUCCCAGUGUUUCCUAGUGUCCCAGGGACAAAGACACAUAGAGAAAUGGGAACACUGAGACACUAGGGGACACUGGGAGACAU